rnacentral:rRNA from 1 species
CGUAGGGUGCGAGCGUUAAUCGGAAUUACUGGGCGUAAAGCGUGCGCAGGCGGUUUAGUAAGACAGGCGUGAAAUCCCCGGGCUCAACCUGGGAACUGCGCUUGUGACUGCUAAGCUAGAGUACGGCAGAGGGGGGUGGAAUUCCACGUGUAGCAGUGAAAUGCGUAGAGAUGUGGAGGAACACCAAUGGCGAAGGCAGCCCCCUGGGUCGAUACUGACGCUCAUGCACGAAAGCGUGGGUAGCAAACAGGAUUAGAUACCCUGGUAGUCCACGCCCUAAACGAUGUCAACUAGGUGUUGGGAGGGUUAAAACCUUUUAGUACCGGAGCUAACGCGUGAAGUUGACCGCCGUGGGGAGUACGGCCGCAAGGUUA